rnacentral:rRNA from 1 species
AUAACGACUUUCGGCAACGGAUAUCUCGGCUCUCGCAUCGAUGAAGAACGUAGCGAAAUGCGAUACUUGGUGUGAAUUGCAGAAUCCCGUGAACCAUCGAGUCUUUGAACGCAAGUUGCGCCCGAAGCCCUUAGGCCGAGGGCACGUCUGCCUGGGUGUCACG